rnacentral:lncRNA from 1 species
CUCCCCUGAACGAUGGGUGCAAAUUGUACGCACCAUUAUAGGAAACAGAGAAAAACAGAUUUAAACAGAAGACUGGCUUCUGGAAGAAAAAAAUUUGACACCUCUUUGCCUGAUGGUACCGUUGCCCCAUCAGAUGACUCCUCGGUGUCCACAAUAACUGCCAACAAUACUUCAGGUCAGUAAAAGCCUCCUUUUUGCUUUCUCUGUUUGACAGAAAUUCUUCCCUCCCAGGUCAUCCUUCCUCUUUUAAGGGCUUUCCAUUUGACCAUUAUUUGUACUGCUUUUCCUUCAUCUUAUAUUACUUACAUGGUUGAUACAGUUGAAUAUCUGAAGUUAGUAGGAGGAAAAAUUUGUGGUCGGAAGUCUCUUUAUUUUUCAAAAUGUUAGAAUGAAAUAGAUAGAAGAAGAAUGUUGUUAAAAGUUUUAACCACAGGGACCAGAGUACACUGGAAAAAGAUUACAGUUUGUUUUUCUCAGAAGCCUUCUUCAGUAUAUGCUCUGUAU